CUUACAUGGUGGAAGAGGAAAGAGAGUCCUCUGGGGUCUCUUUUAUAAAAGAAGUAAUCCAAUAUGUGAGGGCUUCAUACUCAUGAACUAAUCAUCCCCAAAGGGCUCCCCCAUAACACCAUCACAAUAGAGAUUAGGUUUCAACAAGGAAUUUGGGGGGAACACAAACCUUCUCUUGACUGACUUGUCUUCUUUUCUCAAGCAUAUCAGUGUUGGUGGAUAGUGUGUGUGGAAUGCACCACCUUUCCUUUGUAUCCCUGUAAGUUUCCUAAUAGUUGCUGCUGAGGAGGUCAUAUAAUCAUAAUAAGAAUCAGAAGAUCCAGACACAAUGUUGAUUCCGAAAGAGGAAGUGGGCCUAGAAGCAGCCAUCUGCUUCAUCUACAGGGGAGCGGUGAGAGAAUCAUCCCUAUGAGAUUCGAAAAUGAUCUUCGAUAUUUAGAGAUUUUCCGGGCUGGGCACUUAAGUUUUAAUUACAGUUGUCCAAAGCAAAGAUGAAGUUGGUUUUCCUGGAAGUAAUCCACCUGAAGUCCAGGGAAUACAGAACUCUUCAGCUGCACUGGGUGAGAAAGGCCAUGCAGGUAAACAACAAGAUGGCAACUAUCUACAAGCCAGGAAGUGGGCCCUUACCAAGAACCGAAUCUGUCUGCACCUUGAUCUUGGACUUCCCAGCCUCCAGAAUUGUGGGAAAUAAAUGUCUGGUUUUU